GAUGAACGCUAGCGGGAGGCUUAACACAUGCAAGUCGAGCGGUAAGGCAGCAAUGCCUGAGAGCGGCGCACGGGUGCGUAACGCGUAUGCAACCUGCCUUAUACAGGGGAAUAGCCCAUGGAAACGUGGAUUAAUGUCCCAUAGGAUUACGGAUUCGCAUGGAUUUGUGAUUAAAACUGAGGUGGUAUAAGAUGGGCAUGCGUCUGAUUAGGUAGUUGGUAGGGUAAUGGCCUACCAAGCCGACGAUCAGUAGGGGUUCUGAGAGGAUUACCCCCCACACUGGUACUGAGACACGGACCAGACUCCUACGGGAGGCAGCAGUGAGGAAUAUUGGUCAAUGGCCGGAAGGCUGAACCAGCCAUCCCGCGUGCAGGAUGACGGCCCUAUGGGUUGUAAACUGCUUUUGUACCUGAAGAAACCUGUUUACGAGUAGACAGUUGCCGGUAAGGUAUGAAUAAGCAUCGGCUAACUCCGUGCCAGCAGCCGCCGCGGUAA
rnacentral:rRNA from 1 species